UACGGAGGCGGAAAACUAAGUCAGUAGUGAAAUCCUGCAGCUUAACUGUAGAACUGUUAUUGAUACUGGUUUUCUUGAAUAUAGUUGAAGUAGGCGGAAUGUGUAAUGUAGCGGUGAAAUGCUUAGAUAUUACACAGAACACCGAUUGCGAAGGCAGCUUACUAAGCUAUGAUUGACGCUGAGGUACGAAAGCGUGGGGAGCGAACAGGAUUAGAUACCCUGGUAGUCC
rnacentral:rRNA from 1 species